GGGAUGCUGGCUCCAUUGGUUAAAGCACGGUGCUGAUAACCCCAAGGUUGCAGGUUCAGUCCCUGCAUGGGACCG